AGAGUUUGAUCAUGGCUCAGGAUGAACGCUGGCGGUAUGCUUAACACAUGCAAGUCGAACGGACGCUUCGGCGUUAGUGGCGGACGGGUGAGUAACACGUGAGAACCUACCUUCAGGACAGGGACAACAACUGGAAACGGUUGCUAAUACCUGAUGUGCCUAUGGGUGAAAGAUUUAUCGCCUGAAGAUGGGCUCGCGACCGAUUAGCUAGUUGGAGUGGUAACGGCACACCAAGGCGACGAUCGGCAGCUGGUCUGAGAGGAUGAUCAGCCACACUGGGACUGAGACACGGCCCAGACUCCUACGGGAGGCAGCAGUGAGGAAUAUUGGUCAAUGGGGGCAACCCUGAACCAGCAACGCCGCGUGGGUGACGAAGGCCUUCGGGUCGUAAACCGCUUUUGUCGGGGACGAGGAAGGACGGUACCCGACGAAGAAGUCUCGGCUAACUACGUGCCAGCCGCCGCGGUAAUAC
rnacentral:rRNA from 1 species